CCUACGGGAGGCUGCAGUAGGGAAUCUUUCACAAUGGGCGAAAGCCUGAUGGAGCAACGCCGCGUGCAGGAUGAAGGCCUUCGGGUUGUAAACUGCUUUUAUAAGCGAGAAAUAUGAUGGUAACUUAUGAAUAACGAUCGGCUAACUACGUGCCAGCAGCCGCGGUCAUACGUAGGAUCCGAGCAUUAUCCGGAGUGACUGGGUGUAAAGAGUUGCGUAGGUGGCAUAAUAAGUAGCUAGGGAAAUCUGGUGGCUCAACCAUUCAGACGAUUAGCUAAACUGUUAAGCUCGAGACCGUUAGGGGUAAGUGGAAUUUCUAGUGUAGGAGUGAAAUCCGUAGAUAUUAGAAGGAACACCAAUAGCGUAGGCAGGUUGCUGGGACGGUUCUGACACUAAGGCACGAAAGCGUAGGGAGCAAACGGGAUUAGAUAUCCGUGUAGUC
rnacentral:rRNA from 1 species